AGAGUUUGAUCCUGGCUCAGGACGAACGCUGGCGGCGUGCCUAAUACAUGCAAGUCGAGCGAGCUGAAUUCAAAGAUUCCUUCGGGAUGAUUUGUUGGACGCUAGCGGCGGAUGGGUGAGUAACACGUGGGCAAUCUGCCCUAAAGACUGGGAUACCACUUGGAAACAGGUGCUAAUACCGGAUAACAACAUGAAUCGCAUGAUUCAAGUUUGAAAGGCGGCGCAAGCUGUCACUUUAGGAUGAGCCCGCGGCGCAUUAGCUAGUUGGUGGGGUAAAGGCCUACCAAGGCAAUGAUGCGUAGCCGAGUUGAGAGACUGAUCGGCCACAUUGGGACUGAGACACGGCCCAAACUCCUACGGGAGGCAGCAGUAGGGAAUCUUCCACAAUGGACGCAAGUCUGAUGGAGCAACGCCGCGUGAGUGAAGAAGGUCUUCGGAUCGUAAAGCUCUGUUGUUGGUGAAGAAGGAUAGAGGCAGUAACUGGUCUUUAUUUGACGGUAAUCAACCAGAAAGUCACGGCUAACUACGUGCCAGCAGCCGCGGUAAUACGUAGGUGGCAAGCGUUGUCCGGAUUUAUUGGGCGUAAAGCGAGCGCAGGCGGAAUGAUAAGUCUGAUGUGAAAGCCCACGGCUCAACCGUGGAACUGCAUCGGAAACUGUCAUUCUUGAGUGCAGAAGAGGAGAGUGGAACUCCAUGUGUAGCGGUGGAAUGCGUAGAUAUAUGGAAGAACACCAGUGGCGAAGGCGGCUCUCUGGUCUGCAACUGACGCUGAGGCUCGAAAGCAUGGGUAGCGAACAGGAUUAGAUACCCUGGUAGUCCAUGCCGUAAACGAUGAGCGCUAGGUGUUGGGGACUUUCCGGUUCUCAGUGCCGCAGCAAACGCAUUAAGCGCUCCGCCUGGGGAGUACGACCGCAAGGUUGAAACUCAAAGGAAUUGACGGGGGCCCGCACAAGCGGUGGAGCAUGUGGUUUAAUUCGAAGCACCGCGAAGAACCUUACCAGGUCUUGACAUCCUGCNNNNNNNNNNUCGUCCUGAGCCAGGAUCAAACNUUCAAUUUGAAAAUUGAGCCUUUUUAAUCUGCUCCAGAUUAUUUGCUUGCGAAUUGACUUCGCUUAUUUGUUUGGAUCAAACAUUGUUUGACCCGCACACUGCGAAACUUUGUUCAGUUUUCAAAGUACCAACUUGCGUCUUAGUGACGCAACGUUUUAUAUCUUACUCGCUUGUUUGAUUCUUGUCAACAAGUUUUUGAUAUUUUCUUUUUCGUGUCUCCGGCGAAUUCCUUCUUCGCCGCGACAACAAAUAUUAGUAUACUCGUUAUUUUUGAAAGGUAAAAUCAGCCUUUUCAUUCGCUUUA
rnacentral:rRNA from 1 species